rnacentral:rRNA from 1 species
CGGAGGAUGCAAGCGUUAUCCGGAAUGAUUGGGCGUAAAGCGUCCGCAGGUGGCAGUUCAAGUCUGCUGUCAAAGACCGGGGCUUAACUUCGGAAAGGCAGUGGAAACUGAACAGCUAGAGUAUGGUAGGGGCAGAGGGAAUUCCUGGUGUAGCGGUGAAAUGCGUAGAUAUCAGGAAGAACAUCGGUGGCGAAGGCGCUCUGCUGGACCAUAACUGACACUCAGGGACGAAAGCUAGGGGAGCGAAUGGG